GUUUUGAUCAUGUGCCACUCUGUUGUUUGAGGCUUGUUUUCUAUUAAAAGUCGUUCCUUAAGUAAAAAAAUUCUAGUUAUACUUAAAAGUAGUAUUGGAUAAUUUUUCUAUGGCUAUCAUGAAGGAGAAGGCCAAACCAUAUUUGCUACUGUGAUUGCAUGUGACAUAGUAAUGGUUCCUUUAUUUAUUCUUCUAAUGCUCUUGUCCUAUCAACCAGAUUGAGUUUCAUGUUGGCAAAAGGAAACCACCAAUACUUAUUGAAAAAUAUGAGAGACUUCGUAGUGUAAAUUCUUUCAAAAAGGAAAUUCUGUAAAAUGAACUAUACAUCAUACCCCAUGUUGUUUAGUUUGCAGUAACAAUAUAUUUUGUUUUACAACAACCCAACUAGUUAAAGCAAGUUGUCUUUGCCAUUUUUUUAUUCUGUGGUUUCGCGAAUUCUGUACUGAAUACAUACUAUGUGUUGGUAAAGUUGCUGAUAGUUUGUCUUGCGGUUAAUUAAUACAAGGAAAAUAUAUCAUUUGUACUCAUGUCAUUUUCGUGUCAUUAUGCCAAUUGUGUUUAUGUUUUGACCCACUGAAAUUGAGAAGCUCUGCCCCAGUUUCAUGGAGAAUUCUGGUACCGUUACUGUUGGAAAUGCUUCUAGUAUAAGAUUGAGAUGGUGUUGCCGCAUUAGUAUUGGUGAGUGGAAAGAAGUCUCAAGAACUUUGUCUGCAAGUCCUUGCAAUGAUCAAAGGAUUUGCUGAUGCAUCUCAAGUUUCAAUUUACAAGCUCGGUGCAAUCAACCAAAAGGAAGUUGGAAGGUAAAU